rnacentral:rRNA from 1 species
AUGGCCCCGCCUUCUCCCCCCGCCCACGCGGCCCGGCGCGUGCCGCCCCCGUGCUGGACCCCCGAGGAGACCGUCGCGCUCGCGCGCGCCUACACCGCGCGCCGCCUCGCCGUCGGCCGCGCCCACCUCUCCUCCGCCGACUGGGCCGCCGUCGCCGCGGCCGCCACCCCGUCCAAGACCGCCAGGCAGUGCCGCCACAAGGUCGAGAAGCUCCGCCGCCGCCUCCGCUCCAAGCGCCGCCGCCCCUGCCCCAUCCUGGACGGCAUAGAUCUGCUCGACGACCCUUCGUCGUCCCCCUCCCGCUCCCACUCCCCGUCCCCGCCGCCGCCCGCCUCCCCGCUUCCCCCCUCUCCCUCCCCACCCAAGAAGAGGAAGCGGCCCGAUCCCGAUGAAGAAGGGUAUGCCGGGGAGAGCGACGUGGUGCAGGCGGUGAGGGCGAUCGGAGAGGGAUUCGUGCGCGCCGAGCUGAGGAGGAUGGAGGCGGCGAGGGAGUCGCAGCGGAUGCGCAUGGAGAUGGCGCUGCGGCACCUCGACGCGCAGCAACGGCUCCUGGAAGGCCUCGUUGGCCGCAUCGUCGACGCGUUGGAAUGA